CCUACGGGAGUCAGCAGUGGGGAAUAUUGGACAAUGGGGGGAACCCUGAUCCAGCGACGCCGCGUGAGUGAAGAAGUAUUUCGGUAUGUAAAGCUCUAUCAGCAGGGAAGAAAGAAAUGACGGUACCUGACUAAGAAGCCCCGGCUAACUACGUGCCAGCAGCCGCGGUACUACGUAGGGGGCAAGCGUUAUCCGGAUUUACUGGGUGUAAAGGGAGCGUAGACGGCGAUGCAAGUCUGAAGUGAAAGGCGGGGGCCCAACCCCCGGACUGCUUUGGAAACUGUAUGGCUGGAGUGCAGGAGAGGUAAGUGGAAUUCCUAGUGUAGCGGUGAAAUGCGUAGAUAUUAGGAGGAACACCAGUGGCGAAGGCGGCUUACUGGACUGUAACUGACGUUGAGGCUCGAAAGCGUGGGGAGCAAACAGGAUUAGAUACCCCAGUAGUC
rnacentral:rRNA from 1 species